rnacentral:rRNA from 1 species
AUUGAACGCUGGCGGCAGGCCUAACACAUGCAAGUCGAGCGGAUGAAGGGAGCUUGCUCCUGGAUUCAGCGGCGGACGGGUGAGUAAUGCCUAGGAAUCUGCCUGGUAGUGGGGGAUAACGUCCGGGAACGGGCGCUAAUACCGCAUACGUCCUGAGGGAGAAAGUGGGGGAUCUUCGUACCUCACGCUAUCAGAUGAGCCUAGGUCGGAUUAGCUAGUUGGUGGGGUAAAGGCCUACCAAGGCGACGAUCCGUAACUGGUCUGAGAGGAUGAUCAGUCACACUGGAACUGAGACACGGUCCAGACUCCUACGGGAGGCAGCAGUGGGGAAUAUUGGACAAUGGGCGAAAGCCUGAUCCAGCCAUGCCGCGUGUGUGAAGAAGGUCUUCGGAUUGUAAAGCACUUUAAGUUGGGAGGAAGGGCAGUAAGUUAAUACCUUGCUGUUUUGACGUUACCAACAGAGUAAGCACCGGCUAACUUCGUG